AUUGAACGCUGGCGGCAUGCUUUACACAUGCAAGUCGAACGGUAACAGGCCGCAAGGUGCUGACGAGUGGCGAACGGGUGAGUAAUGCAUCGGAACGUGCCCAGUCGUGGGGGAUAACUACUCGAAAGAGUAGCUAAUACCGCAUACGAUCUAUGGAUGAAAGCGGGGGACCGUAAGGCCUCGCGCGAUUGGAGCGGCCGAUGUCAGAUUAGGUAGUUGGUGGGGUAAAGGCUCACCAAGCCAACGAUCUGUAGCUGGUCUGAGAGGACGACCAGCCACACUGGGACUGAGACACGGCCCAGACUCCUACGGGAGGCAGCAGUGGGGAAUUUUGGACAAUGGGCGCAAGCCUGAUCCAGCAAUGCCGCGUGCAGGAAGAAGGCCUUCGGGUUGUAAACUGCUUUUGUACGGAACGAAACGGCUCUGGUUAAUACCCGGGGCUAAUGACGGUACCGUAAGAAUAAGCACCGGCUAACUACGAG
rnacentral:rRNA from 1 species